rnacentral:tRNA from 1 species
UGGGUUGUGGCUCAGCGGUAGAGUGCUCUUCUAGCAAGUGCGAGGCUCUGGGUUCGAUCCUCAGCACCACAU